rnacentral:SRP_RNA from 1 species
GCCGGGCGUGGUGGUGCGUGCCUGUAAUCUCAGCUACUGGGGAGGCUGAGGCAGGAGAAUCGCUUGAACCCGGGAGACAGAGGCUGCAGUGAGCAGUGAUCCGCCACUGCACUCCAGCCUGGGAGACAGAGUGAGACCCUGUCUCAC